rnacentral:rRNA from 1 species
AUUGAACGCUGGCGGAAGGCCUAACACAUGCAAGUCGAACGAGUGGCGGACGGGUAAGUAAUGUCUGGGAAACUGCCUGAUGGAGGGGGAUGACUACUGGAAACGGUAGCUAAUACCGCAUACCAUCAGAUGUGCCCAGAUGGGAUUAGCUAGUUGGUGGGGUAACGGCUAACCAAGGCGACGAUCCCUAGCUGGUCUGAGAUGAUGACCAGCCAUGCUGGAACUGAGACACGGUCCAGACUCCUACGGGAGGCAUCAGUGGGGCAUAUCGCACAAGGGGCGCAAGCCUGAUGCAGCAAUGCCGCGUGUAUGAAGAAGGCCUGCGGGUUGUAAAGUACGUUCAGCGGGGAGGCGUUACCCGCAGAAGAAGCACCGGCUAACUCCGUGCCAGCAGCCGCGGUAAUUC